rnacentral:rRNA from 1 species
AGUGAACGCUGGCGGUAGGCCUAACACAUGCGAGUCGAACGGCAGCACAGUAAGAGCUUGCCCUUCCGGGUGGCGCGUGGCGGAAGGGUGAGGAAUACAUCGGCAUCUACUUUUUCGAGGGGGCUAACGCAGGGAAACUUACGCUAAUAACGCAUACGACCUCCGGGUGAAAGCAGGGGAAAUUCGUACCUCAGGCGAUUGAAUGAGCCGAUGACGGAUUAGCUAGUUGGCGGGGUAAAGGCCCACUAAGGCGACGAUCCGUAGCUGGUCUGGGAGGAUGAUCAGCCACACUGGAACUGAGACACGGUCCAGACUCCUACGGGAGGCAGCCGUGGCGAAUAUUGGACAAUGGGCGCAAGCCUGUUCCAGCCAGACCGCGUGGGUGAAGAAGGCCUUCUGGUUGUAAAGCCCUUUUGUUGGGAAAGAAAAGCAGCAGGUUAAUACCCCGCUGUUCUGACGGUACCCAAAGAAUAAGCACCGGCUAACUUCGUG